rnacentral:rRNA from 1 species
GAGGAGUGGCGGACGGGUGAGUAACACGUGGGUAACCUACCCAUCAGAGGGGGAUAACACUUGGAAACAGGUGCUAAUACCGCAUAACAGUUUAUGCCGCAUGGCAUAAGAGUGAAAGGCGCUUUCGGGUGUCGCUGAUGGAUGGACCCGCGGUGCAUUAGCUAGUUGGUGAGGUAACGGCUCACCAAGGCCACGAUGCAUAGCCGACCUGAGAGGGUGAUCGGCCACACUGGGACUGAGACACGGCCCAGACUCCUACGGGAGGCAGCAGUAGGGAAUCUUCGGCGAUGGACGAAAGUCUGACCGAGCAACGCCGCGUGAGUGAAGAAGGUUUUCGGAUCGUAAAACUCUGUUGUUAGAGAAGAACAAGGACGUUAGUAACUGAACGUCCCCUGACGGUAUCUAACCAGAAAGCCACGGCUAACUACGUGCCAGCAGCCGCGGUAAUACGUA